rnacentral:rRNA from 1 species
AUUGAACGCUGGCGGCAUGCCUUACACAUGCAAGUCGAACGGUAACGGGCCUUCGGGUGCCGACGAGUGGCGAACGGGUGAGUAAUGCAUCGGAACGUACCUUUCAGUGGGGGAUAACGUAGCGAAAGUUACGCUAAUACCGCAUAUUCUGUGAGCAGGAAAGCAGGGGAUAGCAAGACCUUGUGCUGAUUGAGCGGCCGAUGUCAGAUUAGCUAGUUGGUGAGGUAAAGGCUCACCAAGGCGACGAUCUGUAGCGGGUCUGAGAGGAUGAUCCGCCACACUGGAACUGAGACACGGUCCAGACUCCUACGGGAGGCAGCAGUGGGGAAUUUUGGACAAUGGGGGCAACCCUGAUCCAGCCAUGCCGCGUGAGUGAAGAAGGCCUUCGGGUUGUAAAGCUCUUUCGGUCGGGAAGAAAUCGCAUGGGUUAAUACCCUGUGCGGAUGACGGUACCGGCAUAAGAAGCACCGGCUAACUACGUGCCAGCAGCCGCCGUAAGAC